rnacentral:rRNA from 1 species
UACGAAGGGUGCAAGCGUUACUCGGAAUUACUGGGCGUAAAGCGUGCGUAGGUGGUGGGUUAAGUCUGUCGUGAAAGCCCCGGGCUCAACCUGGGAAUGGCGAUGGAUACUGGCUCGCUAGAGUGCGGUAGAGGAGAGUGGAAUUCCCGGUGUAGCAGUGAAAUGCGUAGAGAUCGGGAGGAACAUCAGUUGCGAAGGCGGCUCUCUGGACCAGCACUGACACUGAGGCACGAAAGCGUGGGGAGCAAACAGG